GAUGAACGCUGGCGGCGUGCCUAAUACAUGCAAGUCGAGCGAACGGACGAGAAGCUUGCUCCUCUGAUGUUAGCGGCGGACGGGUGAGUAACACGUGGAUAACCUACCUAUAAGACUGGGAUAACUUCGGGAAACCGGAGCUAAUACCGGAUAAUAUAUUGAACCGCAUGGUUCAAAAGUGAAAGACGGUCUUGCUGUCACUUAUAGAUGGAUCCGCGCUGCAUUAGCUAGUUGGUAAGGUAACGGCUUACCAAGGCAACGAUGCAUAGCCGACCUGAGAGGGUGAUCGGCCACACUGGAACUGAGACACGGUCCAGACUCCUACGGGAGGCAGCAGUAGGGAAUCUUCCGCUAUGGGCGAAAGCCUGACGGAGCAACGCCGCGUGAGUGAUGAAGGUCUUCGGAUCGUAAAACUCUGUUAUUAGGGAGGAACAUAUGUGUAAGUGACUGUGCACGUCUUGACGGUACCUAAUCAGAAAGCCACGGCUAACUACGUG
rnacentral:rRNA from 1 species